UACGUAGGGGGCGAGCGUUGUCCGGAUUUAUUGGGCGUAAAGAGCGUGUAGGCGGCCAUACAGGUCCGUUGUGAAAACUCGAGGCUUAACCUCGAGACGUCGAUGGAAACCGUAUGGCUAGAGUCCGGAAGAGGAGAGUGGAAUUCCUGGUGUAGCGGUGAAAUGCGCAGAUAUCAGGAAGAACACCCGUGGCGAAGGCGGCUCUCUGGGACGGUACUGACGCUGAGACGCGAAAGCGUGGGGAGCGAACAGG
rnacentral:rRNA from 1 species